rnacentral:pre_miRNA from 1 species
GGAGGUUGAACAUCCUGCAUAGUGCUGCCAGGAAAUCCCUAUUUCAUACUAAGAGGGGGCCAGCUGGUUGCAUAUGUAGGAUGUCCCAUCUCCCGGCCCACUUCGUC